CCAAACUGGAUGUUGACAGUGACACCCAGCCCACCCUCACGGUCCUGCCCCCCUCCAGCGUGGAGCUGCAGCAGGGGAAAGCCACACUCAUGUGUCUGGCCAACAAGGGCUUCCCCUCAGACUGGAAGCUAAGUUGGAAGGUGGAUGGUAAGAGUUGGAGUUCAGGGGUGAGCUCCAGCCCUGGGGUUUUACAGAAGGACGGUCUCUACAGCUGGAGCAGCACCCUCACCCUCCAGGAGGAGCAGUGGAGUAAGAUGUCAGUGACCUGUGAGGCCACACAGGGCUCCCAGUCUGCAGUGACCCAGACACUGACGAAAGACCAGUGUUCUGAGUAG